CAGGAGCAGUCAUUCGCUGCGAAUAAUUCAAUUGAUUUUAUUCAUUAGCAGUUGAUUGGGUUGUGAAAAUUGGACGUUGCAUGGUGUAAUUAAAGCCAAGAAUAGUAAGUCAACAAACCUGAAGAUCCACUAAAGAAUGAGUGAGAAGCUUUCACUGAAGAGGAUGUGAUUACAUUUGGAAUCUUGGAUACUAGUCGAAAACUGGCAGCAGACUUUCUCAAUCUCACAGUCUGCUGAAGCUGCACAUGACCUCCUGUUCAGUCUGGCACGUUUCAAACACACAUGCAGACAUGAGGCAGACUG
ensembl:lncRNA